rnacentral:misc_RNA from 1 species
AAGCUUGGAAGGAGGGUUAAAUCCAUCGAUAUUCGUGCAAAUUUUGAGCCGUAAGACGAUUCUAUGGUUGGGUCAUUGAAACUAGGAUACGAUGGCAUUCUUCUGUAGAAUAAACCAAUCCAAGCUCAAGUCCCUUUCGGAUCAAUUCAAGAGACAUUACUUUCAAAUCUCUUAUGCUGCUUCGCUUGAUUCCGUUCGUACUGCGAAACAUGUUUCUGGGUAUGUAGAGCG